UACGUAGGGGGCAAGCGUUGUCCGGAUUUAUUGGGCGUAAAGAGCGUGUAGGCGGCUUUACAGGUCCGUUGUGAAAACUCGAGGCUCAACCUCGAGACGCCGGUGGAAACCGUAAGGCUAGAGUCCGGAAGAGGAGAAUGGAAUUCCUGGUGUAGCGGUGAAAUGCGCAGAUAUCAGGAAGAACACCCGUGGCGAAGGCGGUUCUCUGGGACGGUACUGACGCUGAGACGCGAAAGCGUGGGGAGCGAACAGG
rnacentral:rRNA from 1 species